rnacentral:rRNA from 1 species
AUUGAACGCUGGCGGCAGGACUAACACAUGCAAGUCGAGCGAGAGGCGGACGGGUGAGUAAUAUAUCGGAACGUGCCCCGGAGCGGGGGAUAACUACACGAAAGAGUGGCUAAUACCGCAUACUAUGGGCGCGGCCGAUAUCGGAUUAGCUAGUGGGGGGGGUAAAGCCGCACCCAGGCACGGCUCCGUUGCUGGUUUGAGAGGACGACCAGCCACACUGGGACUGAGAAACGGCCCAGACUCCGACGGGAGGCAGCAGUGGGGAAUUUUGGACAAUGGGGGAAACCCUGAUCCAGCCAUCCCGCGUGUAUGAGAAGGCCUUCGGGUUGUAAAGUACUUUUGGCAGAGAGGCGGUAUCUGCAGAAUAAGCACCGGCUAACUACGUGCCAGCAGCCGCGGUAAUAC